UACGUAGGCAGCGAGCGUUGUUCGGAGUUACUGGGCGUAAAGAGCUCGUAGGCGGUCUGUCGCGUCUGCUGUGAAAACUCGGGGCUUAACCCCGGGCCUGCAGUGGGUACGGGCAGACUAGAGUGCGGUAGGGGAGACUGGAAUUCCUGGUGUAGCGGUGAAAUGCGUAGAGAUCCGGAAGAACACCGGUGGCGAAGGCGGCCUGCUGGGCAGUUUUGCUGACACUGAGGCGCGACAGCGUGGGGAGCGAACGAGG
rnacentral:rRNA from 1 species